AAGAAAAAGUAUAAAAGAGUUGUAUGGCCAGAUUAACUUCAUCGAAUUUUCUACCUCUUUCUUUGUUUAUUUCUUAGAUUUUGUUUUCUUUGUAGAAGAAGAGUUAUGGAUAGUUUCUCAAAAAUGUGAAGUAAUAUUCUGGAAUGAAAAAAGAUUCAAUAUUAUCAAAGAAAGAAUUCGAUUUAUUGAAUGUUGAGUUAUACAGUGGUGAAUUGAAAGAGAAUAAUUGGAAAUAUUUGUGAAGAAUGGAUAUGAAUGGAAGGAUUGUAAUACAUUGAGUAUUGGAAAUUGAGAGCAAUUCAUUAGAAGGAGUCUGUAGAGUGUGAGAUUUUGUAAAGAAUUAUGUUUAGAAGGACUGUUAGUAGUGAAGGAUUCUAGUGUUUGGAUUAUGGAAUGAUUAUGUAGUGUCUUUAAGGGUAGAGUAGGGUUAUACAUUGUUGUUAUUAGUGAUGAUAGAGUACUAUUAGGAAGUAGAAAAUAUUAAGGUGUUCCUUGGUGUUUUCAAUGGUUUGGAAUAUGGUUAAUUGUGUGACCCUA
rnacentral:lncRNA from 1 species